CGUCAGGAAAAUUUAAAAAUGCCAAUUGUCGAAUGUAGAAAAAUCUAUUACUAUUACAAGAUUAAGGGACAAUGUCCCUAUACGAGCCAUCGCAGAAGAAAUAAAUGUGAACAAAAUCACUGUCCUUAAAGCAAAGAAGGAUUUUGAAGAGACUGGGACUAUUGAACGAAAAUUAGGCACUGGACGUUGUAAAAUUUCAAAUUGCGAACAGGACGUGGCAUUAACUGAUUUUCUUCGUGCCAAUCCUUUUCAAACAGCGAUUUAUGCUAAAAUAACGACUAAUGUCCCAGGAUCUACAAGGACCGCGAGAAGAAGAAUACGUGAGACCGAACUCCGCAACAGGUCUGCGGCUAAUAAACCUUUUUUAAAUGGCACAAGUGAUGAUAGUUUGUCAAAACUGAAUCAAAUUUAUUUUAUAAAUUGCACUUAGAACUGUCGAAACUGUCUGGCUACUGAGAAAACAUUUUCUAAUAGUUACCCAAGUAACAUGUAUAAAAUUCAGCUUUUAUACUAUAACGUAAGUACAGUUACAAUGUAUUAAAGUUUAACACGUUCGCUGCCGCCCAUAGUGAACCAAUUCCAGACCCGUCUGGCCGUUUUCUGUUUUUAUCAAAUUUAGGUCCAAAAAUGUUUAAAAUUAAAAAAUACCUGGUUAAAUUUUUUUUUCGUUUUGUUUGGCUAUUAAAAAAACAAAAAUAAAUGAGGCACAUAGAAGGUAUCUUACCGCACAAAGGCCAAUUCUCAUUUAUUGCAUUACUCUAACUUUGCCGUGUGGUUCAGCGUGUGUACCUCAGGCGUGGCACUAAGCGUGUCCCACGCGUCUGUUGUGUGCGAAACAUGUGCUUUGACCCACUACGCACGAACUUGCGCAAUGUUGAUAAACUUGUUGAAACUAGCAAUACUUACUUUUUUCUUGUUUGCAAUUUUCACUUGGGCUAAAAUGAGCUACGAAGAGGAACAAAAUAAAUUGCAAGCGAUAUGGGACGAGUUUACGUCCGAUGAAGAAGAAGAUCCCUUUGCACUUAGUGAAACUUCCGACGACUUUUCACCAAGUACAGAAAGUUCCUCAAGUGACAGUGAAAAACCCAUUUAUAAAAAAAAUUGCAAACGGUCAAAAGAAAGAUAGGUGAUAAAUCUCUAAAAUGUCCCACAAAAAGAAGAAAGUCAAUUACUUCGAAAAAGAAGAGGGCCACGAGUUCUUCUAAUACGGAUACUCCUCAACCCAGCACUUCUCGAAAAUCUCCGGAAAAUAUCUCUUAUGUUUCUACUGACAAACAUGACAGAACAAUUGAUGAAGCAGUACUUCACCAUCUGACCCAAACUGAAGAUGCAACGAUAAACGAAGACAAUCACGAAGGAGAACCAAACUGGAUGAUAACACACGUUUGAUUUUACGGAAAACACUUUUGAUACUAGACAAGAAAUUGCUGAAAUUUAUUUCAACAAAACACCAAUUGAUUUUUAUAAACUAUUUGUUACUGAAGAAACAAAUCGAUAUGCUGAUCAAAUUGCAACAAAAAUUGAUAAACCACGAGCAAGGAUACGGCAGUGGAAACCCACAAAUAAAGACGAAAUUCAACUUUUAAUGGGAUUACAACGUUUUCCUCGCAUUACAGAUUAUUGGACUAAAAACAAAAUUUACGCUUCUAACGUAGCAAAAGUUAUGAGCCGAAAUCGUUUUCAACUUCUUCUCAAGAUGCUUCAUUUUUCAAAUAACGAAGAACCAGGCACUUCGAAUCAAGAAAACGAUCCUGGUUAUAAUAAUCCAGAACCAGAUAGAAUUAAAAAAAUUCGUCCACUAAUAGAGAUGAUAAUCGAACGAUAUUAGUUUGCUAAAACCCCAUCUGAAAAUAUUUGCAUUGAUGAAACGCUGGUUCCAUUUCGAGUAAGGUUAAAGUUUAGACAAUAUAUCAAAAAUAAGCGUCAUCGAUUUGGAAUAAAAUUGUAUUGUAAACUGUGCUUGCAAAAAGGAUACACAUACAACUUCAGUAUUUAUUGUGGGAAAACAAAACGCAAUGAAAAUGAAAAAGACCAUUUGCUUUCUACAAAAGUCGUCAUGGAUUUGAUGAGCUCCGUUUUGGUUAAAGGCGUACCUAGUGUCAACAGCUACAGUCAGAACAGACAUAACGAAAUGGAACCAAAGUUAACGACUUAUGUACCCUUCCACUCAAGUAUUAGAGGAAUUGAUCAUCUGGUAGAUCUUUUAAAAGAAAAAGUCUUAAAAAAGAAUGUGAAACUGCAUCGAACAAAUUGUUCAGCUUUGUUAAACAAUGUUAUUUCUCCGGCUUUAUUAGAAGAGGUGAAAAAUCAA